GAGUUUGAUCGUGGCUCAGAACGAACGCUGGCGGCGUGCUUAACACAUGCAAGUCGAACGAGAAAGAGUUCUUCGGAACUUGAGUAAAGUGGCGCACGGGUGAGUAACGCGUAGAUAACCUGCCCUGAUGUCCGGGAUAACCCUUCGAAAGGGGGACUAAUACCGGAUACGCUGACUUUCAUAAGGAGAAUCAGGAAAGAUGGCCUCUGAUAUAAGCUAUCGCAUUUGGAGGGGUCUGCGUACCAUUAGCUUGUUGGUGGGGUAACGGCCUACCAAGGCAACGAUGGUUAGCGGGUCUGAGAGGAUGAUCCGUCACACUGGCACUGAAACACGGGCCAGACUCCUACGGGAGGCAGCAGUGAGGAAUAUUGCGCAAUGGGGGAAACCCUGACGCAGCGACGCCGCGUGAGUGAGGAAGCCUCGGUCGUAAGACGUCUGUCAGAGGGAAGAAAGUAGCGUAUGUGGUUAAGUACC
rnacentral:rRNA from 1 species